GAUGAACGCUGGCGGCGUGCCUAAUACAUGCAAGUCGAGCGAACAGACGAGGAUCUUGCUCCUCUGACGUUAGCGGCGGACGGGUGAGUAACACGUGGAUAACCUACCUAUAAGACUGGGAUAACUUCGGGAAACCGGAUCUAAUACCGGAUAAUAUAUUGAACCGCAUGGUUCAAUAGUGAAAGACGGUUUUGCUGUCACUUAUAGAUGGAUCCUCGCCGCAUUAGCUAGUUGGUAAGGUAACGGCUUACCAAGGCAACGAUGCGUAGCCGACCUGAGAGGGUGAUCGGCCACACUGGAACUGAGACACGGUCCAGACUCCUACGGGAGGCAGCAGUAGGGAAUCUUCCGCAAUGGGCGAAAGCUUGACGGAGCAACGCCGCGUGAGUGAUGAAGGUCUUCGGAUCGUAAAACUCUGUUAUUAGGGAAGAACAAAUGUGUAAGUAACUAUGCACGUCUUGACGGUACCUAAUCAGAAAGCCACGGCUAACUACGUG
rnacentral:rRNA from 1 species